rnacentral:rRNA from 1 species
GAUGAACGCUGGCGGCGUGCCUAAUACAUGCAAGUCGAGCGAACGCACCCGAUGCUUGCUUUUCUCAUUUUAGCGGCGGACGGGUGAGUAACACGUGGAUAACCUACCUAUCAGACUGGGAUAACUUCCGGAAACCGUUGCUAAUACCGGAUAAUUUUUUGAACCGCAUGGUUCUAAAGUGAAAUACGGUCUUGCUGUCUCUUUUUGAUUGUUCCGCGCUGCAUUAGCUAGUUGGUAAGGUAACGGCUUACCAAGGCAACGAUGCAUAGCCGACGUGAGAGGGGGAUCGGCGACACUGGAACUGAGACACGGACCAGAGUCCUACGGGAGGCAGCAGAAGGGAAUAUUACGCAAUGGGGGAAAGCCUGACGGAGCAACGCCGCGUGAGUGAAGAAGGUCUUCGGAUCGUAAAACUCUGUUAUUAGGGAAGAACAAAUGUGAAAGUAACUGUGAACAACUUGACGGUAACUAAACAGAAAGCAACGGCUAACUACGUG